AUUGAACGCUGGCGGAAUGCUUUACACAUGCAAGUCGAACGGCAGCACGGGAGCUUGCUCCUGGUGGCGAGUGGCGAACGGGUGAGUAAUGUAUCGGAACGUACCCCGUCGUGGGGGAUAACUCUCCGAAAGGAGAGCUAAUACCGCAUACGACCCGAGGGUGAAAGCGGGGGACCUGGGGUAACCUGGGCCUCGCGCGAUGGGAGCGGCCGAUAUCGGAUUAGCUAGUUGGUGGGGUAAAGGCCUACCAAGGCGACGAUCCGUAGCGGGUCUGAGAGGACGACCCGCCACACUGGAACUGAGACACGGUCCAGACUCCUACGGGAGGCAGCAGUGGGGAAUUUUGGACAAUGGGCGCAAGCCUGAUCCAGCCAUUCCGCGUGAGUGAAGAAGGCCUUCGGGUUGUAAAGCUCUUUCAGCAGGAACGAAACGGUGGGUCUUAAUACGGCCUGCUAAUGACGGUACCUGCAGAAGAAGCACCGGCUAACUACGUGCCAGCAGCCGCGGUAAUACGUAGGGUGCGAGCGUUAAUCGGAAUUACUGGGCGUAAAGCGUGCGCAGGCGGCGACAUAAGACAGAUGUGAAAUCCCCGGGCUCAACCUGGGAACGGCGUUUGUGACUGUGUGGCUAGAGUGUAGCAGAGGGGGGUGGAAUUCCACGUGUAGCAGUGAAAUGCGUAGAGAUGUGGAGGAACACCGAUGGCGAAGGCAGCCCCCUGGGUUAACACUGACGCUCAUGCACGAAAGCGUGGGGAGCAAACAGGAUUAGAUACCCUGGUAGUCCACGCCCUAAACGAUGCCACCUAAGUGUUGGGGGGAGGAGACUUCCUUAGUACCGUAGCUAACGCGUGAAGUUGGCCGCCUGAGGAGUACGGUCGCAAGAUUAAAACUCAAAGGAAUUGACGGGACCCGCACAAGCGGUGGAUGAUGUGGAUUAAUUCGAUGCAACGCGAAAACCUUACCUAC
rnacentral:rRNA from 1 species